GUGAACGCUAGCGGUAGGCCUAACACAUGCAAGUCGAACGGCAGCACAGUAAGAGCUUGCUCUUACGGGUGGCGAGUGGCGGACGGGUGAGGAAUACAUCGGAAUCUACUUUUUCGUGGGGGAUGACGUAGGGAAACUUACGCUAAUACCGCAUACGACCUACGGGUGAAAGCAGGGGAUCUUCGGACCUUGCGCGAUUGAAUGAGCCGAUGUCGGAUUAGCUAGUUGGCGGGGUAAAGGCCCACCAAGGCGACGAUCCGUAGCUGGUCUGAGAGGAUGAUCAGCCACACUGGAACUGAGACACGGUCCAGACUCCUACGGGAGGCAGCAGUGGGGAAUAUUGGACAAUGGGCGCAAGCCUGAUCCAGCCAUACCGCGUGGGUGAAGAAGGCCUUCGGGUUGUAAAGCCCUUUUGUUGGGAAAGAAAAGCAGCAGGUUAAUACCCCGCUGUUCUGACGGUACCCAAAGAAUAAGCACCGGCUAACUUCGUG
rnacentral:rRNA from 1 species